rnacentral:lncRNA from 1 species
AUCUACAGUCGUGGGAAGAGUGGAGCUUUCCCAGCAAAGUGCCUUGGAAGAGAGAAAGAGUGCCAGCCACACUAUGUAGAGGCAGAAAGAAUCACUGCUUGCUGCCAGACACAGCCAGCCUCCCUCACCUUUAGAAACCCUUUUGAACCUCAGGGAGGAGGACCUAUCAGUGUCCACACAUUUGGUGAUCUACCUGGAGCCAAAAGUGUUUUGAAUAUCUCAUCAUCUCUUCAUUUGUCUUCCCUCUCUAAACGACAGAAAGGGUGGUAAGAAGAGAGAGGGAAGGAGCGAAGAAGUGAGGGGGACAAAGAGAAAGAGAGAGAGAGAGAAAGAAAGAACCUCCGUCUCAUCACAUGGAAACUGAUUUUGUUAUCAAUAGGAAGCGUCAAGACCGACCAGACACUUCAGCAGCCAGAAAAGCAGAUUUACUGCAGCCAUUCUUUCCUGGGCUAUUUAUAGAGACCACGAUUGUUGUCAUCAAAAGUAAGUUUGAAAUCAGACUCUCUUUUGAAUCUCUGUGGGCAUCUUUGAAGCUCUCCUGUGAAUCUCUUUUGGGGUGGCUUUUCCCCUCCUGCUCUUGUAACGCAUCAGGGCCUGGAGGUGGUGCAGGAAUGUCUUUUGCUCCUACUGUCCCUUCCAGAACAUUUUAUUUCCUUUCCAAGCCCUACCCCUCGUGUGUUAAUCUCAUGUCAACAAAUGACACUCAGAUGUAGCCCAUAUACCAAUCUAUCUCCUAACUAAAGUCAGCUUUUUCCUUGAAGAUGUUAAAUCCUGGCUUACUGUCCAUCUCUUCCACAGUACUCCUAUCAUAACUGGGUGUGAUUUCAGUAAUCAUAUAGGUUAUUUUUCUAAACCCCAACAUUUCCAUUUCCUUAACUGUUCUCCUCAAAUGAUAUUUUUUUCCUCUAAACCGUCUCUGACAUUCAUUCCAAUGACUGAAAUCACUCCAUAAUCUUAAAUGUAAGCAUCCUAAUCUCUGAAAGUAUCUGUUAUCUUUUCUGCUCAUUCCUACUAUUGUUCUGACUUAGUGUUUCAACCCCCUUUGAGAAUGGAAUCCAUUGAUUCUACCAGCUUUUUACUUAUCC